AGAGGGUGCAAGCGUUAAUCGGAUUUACUGGGCGUAAAGCGUGCGUAGGUGGCCAAUUAAGUCAAAUGUGAAAUCCCCGAGCUUAACUUGGGAAUUGCAUUCGAUACUGGUUGGCUAGAGUAUGGGAGAGGAUGGUAGAAUUCCAGGUGUAGCGGUGAAAUGCGUAGAGAUCUGGAGGAAUACCGAUGGCGAAGGCAGCCAUCUGGCCUAAUACUGACACUGAGGUACGAAAGCAUGGGGAGCAAAC
rnacentral:rRNA from 1 species